CAGAAAAUAGUAUAUAUUUAUUAAAAGUACAUAAAUUUUGGAUAUUUAAAGAGAAUUAUCUUUUCUGA
rnacentral:tRNA from 1 species